rnacentral:rRNA from 1 species
AUUGAACGCUGGCGGCAGGCUUAACACAUGCAAGUCGAGCGAGCGGAGGACGGGUGAGUAAUGUCUGGGAAACUGCCUGAUGGAGGGGGAUAACUACUGGAAAAGGUAGCUAAUACCGCAUACUAUCAGAUGUGCCCAGAUGGGAUUAGCUAGUAGGUGGGGUAAUGGCUCACCUUGGCGGCGAUCCCUAGCUGGUAUGAGAGGAUUACCAGCCAGACUGGAACGGAUACACGGUCCAGACUCCUACGGUAGGCAGCAGUGGGGAAUAUUGCACAAUGGGCGCAAGCCUGAUGCAGCCAUGCCGAGUGUGUGGGGAAGGCCUUCGGGUUGUAAAGCACUGUCAGCGAGGAGGCGUUACUCGCAGAAGAAGCACCGGCUAACUCCGUGCCAGCAGCCGCGGUAAUUC